GAUGAACGCUAGCUACAGGCUUAACACAUGCAAGUCGAGGGACCGGCGCACGGGUGAGUAACACGUAUCCAACCUGCCCUUUACUCGGGGAUAGCCUUUCGAAAGAAAGAUUAAUACCAGAUGUACAGGAUGGGGAUGCGUUCCAUUAGGUUGUUGGUGAGGUAACGGCUCACUAAGCCUUCGAUGGUUAGGGGUUCUGCGAGGAAGGUCCCCCACAUUGGAACUGCGACACGUACCAAACUCCUGCGGGAGGCAGCAGUGAGGAAUAUUGGUCAAUGGGCGUUAGCCUGAACCAGCCAAGUGGCGUGAAGGAUGAAGGCUUAUGGGUCGUAAACUGCUUUUAUAUACGAAUAGGUAUUAUAUGAAUAAGGAUCGGCUAACUCCGUGCCAGCCGCCGCGGUAAUUC
rnacentral:rRNA from 1 species